rnacentral:tRNA from 1 species
GAGAGAUGGCCGAGUUGGCUGAAGGCGCUCGCCUGCUAAGCGAGUAUACGGGUAAAAGCUCGUAUCGCGGGUUCGAAUCCCGCUCUCUCC